GAUGAACGCUAGCGGCGCGCCUAACACAUGCAAGUCGCACGAGAAAGGGCUUCGGCCCCGGUACAGUGGCGCACGGGUGAGUAACACGUAGGUAAUCUUCCCUAGAGUGGUGGAUAACUCUCCGAAAGGGGAGCUAAUACAGCAUGAGACCACAGCAUCUCCGGAUGCAGCGGUCAAAGCAGGCCUCUACAUGUAAGCUUGCGCUCAAGGAUGAGCCUGCGGCCCAUCAGCUAGUUGGUGAGGUAACGGCCCACCAAGGCUAAGACGGGUAGCUGGUCUGAGAGGAUGAACAGCCACACUGGAACUGACACACGGUCCAGACUCCUACGGGAGGCAGCAGUGGGGAAUCUUGCGCAAUGGGCGAAAGCCUGACGCAGCGACGCCGCGUGAGCGAUGAAGGCCUUCGGGUUGUAAAGCUCUGUGGGGAGAGAAGAAUAAGGAUACGCUCACACCGUACUCGAUGACGGUAUCUCCUUAGCAAGCACCGGCUAACUCUGUGCCAGCAGCCGCGGUAACAC
rnacentral:rRNA from 1 species